AUGAAUAAGUACUGUACCUUCUACAGAGUGCAGAGGAGUAGCAGCAAUAGCAGCACGGGCAGGAUCAGAAGAGGAGAAGCAGCACGGGCAGGGUCAGAGGAGCAGCAGCAGCACGGGCAGGGGAGAGGGAGCAGCAGCAGCAGCACAGGCAGAUCUCCACCGGCGAGCUCCUGGUCCACCAGAUUGUCGAGGCAAGCUCCGGCGACGACAGUAGGGGAUCGCGGCGGCGCACGCGCGGGAGCUCCAGGAGGAUGCGCGGGAGCACGAGGGAGGACGCACGCGGGGGCUCCAGGAGGAUGCGCGGGGGCUCCAGGAGGGAAGCGCGCGGCCUCGAGGAAGACGUGGCAGGAGAUUCCGGCGAAGCCCGCAGGCAGCGGGAGGAGACCACGGCGGCGCAGGUCUGGGCUGCGGCGGCAGAGGAGGUAA
rnacentral:rRNA from 1 species